AGAAAUGAGAAACUUGAAAAGGCCGUUUGUUGAAUCCAGUGUGUUUUGGGUCAUGACACGAGUGAACAGGACUGUUUCUUGCCUUGACAAACACUGGUGCAGGCCCGUGUCAACGAUAAAGGCAAAUCUCCAUUCAAAUGGAGCCAGUUGGUGGAGCUGUGUGCAGGCAAUUAUAGUUGACAGCCCAGCGAUUGCAAACCUCAGCGACAGCAUGAAAGAUAAGUUCUCUGACAGUAAGAUGGCAAUUCCUGGGCCACAAACGAUACCACUGGAGAACACCCCCAAAACUGAAGCUCUCCCAAAAGCAUUGCAGCAGGACCAUUCAUUGACCACGGUAGAGUUAAUGAUGUCUGCGCGCUGACUGCCAGAUCCAACAGCACCGAAGGCAAGUUCUGGCUGCCAAGAAGGGAGCUGCAGGGUUGAAGCAUCCUCUCCCAGCCUCCUCCCACAGGACCAAGUCCUCACCAUCAGUUUUCUCUGUCUUUAAAAAACAACUUUUUUCUUUAUAUAUAUAUAUAUUUCAUUGAAGUAUAAUUGACUUACAAUGUUUCAAGUGCACAGCAAGGUGAUUCAGUUAUAAAUAUACACACAAUAUAAAUAUACAUAUAAAUAUACACAUAUAAAUAUAUACAUAUCAGAGAAGGCAAUGGCACCCCACUCCAGUACUUUUGCCUGGAAUAUCCCAUGGAUGGAGCCUGGUGGGCUGCAGUCCAUGGGGUCGCUAAGAGUUGGAUACAACUGAGUGACUUCACUUUCACUUUUCACUUUCAUGCAUUGGAGAAGGAAAUGGCAACCCAGUCCAGUGUUCUUACCUGGAGAAUCCCAGGGACGGGGGAGCCUGGUGGGCUGCCGUCUGUGGGGUUGCACAGAGUCGGACACGACUAAAGUGACUUAGAAGCAGCAGCAGCAUACACAUAUAUUAUUUUUCAGAUUAUUUUCCAUAAUAGGUUAUUAUAUGAUAUUGACUGCAGUUCCCUGUAAUAUACAGUAAACUUUUGUUGCUUGUUGCAUAUCUUUUUUUUUUAAUUAGAAAUCUAACAAGGUAUCAUUUAUAUGCCACAAAAAUAUCUGUUUUAAGUGUACAAUUCAAUGGUAUUUAGUACAUUUAAAGAGUUGUACAUAUCCUGUAAUCUAAUUUUAGAAUAUAUCCAUCAUCCCCCCCAGAAAGAAGCCUCCUGUGCAUUUGUGUUCAGACCCAAUUCUUACCCCCAGGCCCAGGCAACCACUGAUCUGCUUUCUGUCUGAACAGUUUUAUAUGCGGAUGAAACAGGGGAUGUCUUGCAAACAGUAUCUGCUGGGCACUUGGGAUGAAGCAAAACACAGACCAGUUGACUAUUUUUCAUAGUCUCAGAAAAAUAAAAAAAUUCAGUAACUUUAA
ensembl:lncRNA